UAGGGAAUCUUCCGCAAUGGGCGAAAGCCUAACGGAGCAACGCCGCGUGAGUGAUGAAGGUCUUCGGAUCGUAAAACUCUGUUAUUAGGGAAGAACAAAUGUGUAAGUAACUAUGCACGUCUUGACGGUACCUAAUCAGAAAGCCACGGCUAACUACGUGCCAGCAGCCGCGGUAAUACGUAGGUGGCAAGCGUUAUCCGGAAUUAUUGGGCGUAAAGCGCGCGUAGGCGGUUUUUUAAGUCUGAUGUGAAAGCCCACGGCUCAACCGUGGAGGGUAAUUGGAAACUGGAAAACUUGAGUGCAGAAGAAGAAAGUGGAAUUCCACGUGUAGCGGUGAAAUGCGCAGAGAUAUGGAGGAACACCAGUGGCGAAGGCGACUUUCUGGUCUGUAACUGACGCUGAUGUGCGAAAGCGGGGGGAUCAAACAGG
rnacentral:rRNA from 1 species